UUGUUUCAGGAACAGUUGUGUUUUAGACUUACUGUGCAAAUCCUGCCGUGUCUUCGUGGCUGGGGGUGAUCCCAACCUGCAGCACUGUGGCCAUGUGUGCCAUCAACCAAUCAAUCAAUCAAUCAGUGGGCUGUAAUCCUGAAAGUACUGUUUAUUUUCCAGAAAAAUGACUGACUAAACACUGUUCAUUUGAUUGUAGAGCUGUGCAAACGCUGGUUAAAUUCACCCACGGGACGCGGGGCAGCAGCGAGCGAUGUGAUGAAGUCCUGGCAGAGCAACCUGGAGCCAAAGCCAGGUGGGAAGACUCAUUCCUUUGCUGGAUUUGGAUCCCUGCAGAACAGCCUGUGUACUGAAUGAUACAGAUUUGCAGGGUCUUCUGCAGCAAAGAUGUGAACUGUGCCGUGGUCGCUGGAGACGCAGAUGAGGGAAGCAUCCUGAUUGAAGUUAAUACUGCAGAGAACACAGAACACUGCAGGAUCCCUCCUGGGACAGACCCACAGCCCCUGGCACACACAGUUCUGCUGCUGCAGUUGCCCACAGCAGCUGCCAGCCCGCUCUGGGGUGGGAACAGCUCCUCUCUGUAGGAGUUGGGGCUCCCCCAGUCCAGGGCUCCUUUGGGAUGAACAGCCCAGAUUCCCCAAUCCAGGGCUGCCUUGGGAUGAACAGCCUGCACUCAGAACAGGGUCUGGAGUGGCAGGAGCAGCAGGACUCCCUGACAUGGACACCACAGGUGUGGGCCACUCUGACACUCCUGGAAGAAAAGGAGAUCUGCUCCAAGAGUGGGCAAAACCUGUAACAUUCCUACCCCAGAUGGGGCUUGGUCGAGGAGGGGGAGUUUCCCUGCUCCUGGCAGAGUCACACCUCUGUCCUGGGCACUCCCCCCACAGCAGGAUGUGGUGCUGAAGCCCCACCCUGCCCCAAGCUCUCCAGUCCCUGGGCAGUGUUCAAGUGCAUCGGGGCCCUCCCAGUGUCGGUGUCAGUUCAGCAUCCCCAGCUCCCACCCGUGCUGGGCACGGCCUGGCACCACACACGGUUCUGUCCCAGCCCCUGUGCCCUGUGCCAGGCUCCACACACCUCCCACCUCCCUCCCCUCCCCAGCAGUGAGCCCAGAGCAGCCCUGGGCCCUGUGAGGGCUCUGUGUGCCCAGGCAGCACAUCUGUGCUCAGCACAGCACCUGAACAUCCCAGUGUAUUGGACAUCCCAGUGUAUUGCACAUACCAGUACAUUGGACAUACCAGUAUAUAUUGGCUGCCUGUGAUCCUCGACGUAGCUCCUGGAUUAAAUGCCCUGAUGAAGUAUCAAAUAUCCUUAUAAGGGUCCCCUUGAAAAGGAAUCAAGCCUUGUAUUAGGAAAGGCAGAAGAUUCUCUUUACAUCUGUGAAUGCAGCCUAAAACUCUGUCUGACCAGUGUGUCCCUGCACACACCUCGGGGGGGUUUUCUUCUUGCUAGAUUUGAGAACCUGUUUUAAUUUUGGGGAAGAACGUUGAUUGCCCCCACACCAGCCCCACAGUGUGUCAGUGCUGUGCUGUACAACCUUGUCACUUGGCUCCUCAACUCAAGCUUCUUUCAGCUCUGUUCUAAAGCACCAGCACAGCCCUGGCCCUGGUUGGCAGACCCUGGAGUGUGCCCAGGCUCUGGAGUCACUUCUGCCUUGCUCCCUCAGUCAGUGCUGCCAUUUUCAGUGCUACCCUGCAAUUCUUUCCCACAAAGCAUAAUCAGGCUGUGGCUGACUUGUCUUUGAAUUAAUUCAGAGCUGUCCAUCAUCACCUGCAGUCCUGUUACACGCCUGGUUAACAGGUGCAGCUCUCCAGUCACACACCAGGAGGUAACAGAACCCAGCAGAGAAAGAUUUGGUAAACUCAGCUUAGUUUUGAUUUAAGAGACAGGCUUAGGAUGUUUGCUGACUGUGCUCAGACUCCCUAGUUUGGUUGGAAAAUAAAAGCUGUUUGAACUUUUUCUCUGUACAAAACAAGGAACAUCCUGAUACAAAUGCAGCAGAUAAUGAGUCUACUUAGCAAUGGAGUUGGCAGCUUUAAGAACUCUGUUUAGAAGACAUGCAGCCAUUAAGCUUAGUUAGGGGAGACUGUGGCUGCAUUUUCUUUUUUUAAGCUGUUUGAGUGACAGGCUGGGCAGUAGAAACUGUUCAAAGGAGAGACUUGUUGGAUUCAUUUGGCUCGUCCUUGAGAAACUCCUUUCAUUUGAGUGGAAGAAGGCAGCGAGUGCUCCUCUUGCCUCAGGGAGAUGGGUCCAUCUGCCUGACAUUCCUUGGGGAGAUGAAGGGCCCUGGCAGCCCUCCCAGGGGUUCCCAGGGAGAGGGCAGGUCUGUCACCAUUUGAGCUGCACCCUAACCUGAGGUUUUUGUCAGUGUGUUGUCUCUUUAGUCCCACAGGGGUGCACACACCACUUCAGAAGGAGGGGAGCAGCCACCCCCUCCUGCUCUGCACCAGGGGCCAAGCCCUGGCAGAACAAAUCCCUCUGGCAGGACAGACCUAUCUGCAAGCAUUUCUUUAGCCAGUGGGUGUGAAGUGAGUUUAAGCAGAAAAUAAUAAAGGUGAAAGAAUACAAAUAAGAUUCUCCUCCUGCUUUUUAAAAAAAUUAACAGUAUCUGUAGAAGAACACAUGAAAGCUGUGAGCUGCUUGGGCCAGGCUUCUGUCACUGAAGAGUCACUGCUCCAGUCAGCUAAAACAUAAGCACUACCUCAGGCACAGCCCUUGGCUGUUGGUGUCUGGGGAUCCCAGAGGAGCAGUGAAGAUAAAGGGAAUGCACAUUCCAGUGACAAAUUUCCCCGGUAGGUAUUUCUCUGUCUUUCCUACAAAGGAUGUGACUUCCUAUUUGUGACACUGGAACACACAGUAGGUCAGAGGCAGGGACAUCACUCUUACUUUUUCUGAUGCUGUUGCAAUUCUUGUUCCCUGCAGGUUUAAAGCAAUACAGCUCAAGACUCCUUCGUGGGCCGGGAUGUCCACGGGAGGCUUCUCCGUGUUGGCCAGAUCCACGAUCUGCACGUGCCCAGUGUGUGUCCCAGGAAAUGCAAGAAGAGAAUUAUUACUAUUUGGACAAAGGACACAGAGACCUGAAAGACACACAAAAAAAAAAAAAAGAGAAUAACUGGAUUAUUUCCAUAAACCAAUGUUUUCAAAUAAUUAUGCACGUGCCUCUUCAGUGGAAUCCAUCGAACUACCAAUCUCCUGUCCUGCCCUUCCCCUGCUAAGGGAAUGCAGGCACUGGUACCAAGAAAUGCCAGUGUGAAGUCAGAGCAAUGACAAGUCACCAAGGAGCAGCUGCUGCCACUGGCAGCAGCCUGACAGCAGAGUUAUUGCCCCAACCUGCAGCUGUGCUCGUGCCAGCGAGGCCACAGUGAGUUUUGUUCCUCAAAAUCCACAGAAAAAAGAAGAGUUAAAUUAAUGCCCCGCCUGGAAGAUGCCAUAAGCUGAAGGCAGUACCUUGGCCCAGGGAAGCCCACAGGAUUCAGGACCUGAGGUCCAGCAGUGGCAGCAGUGGAGCCCAGGGAAACUAUGACAGCUGGCACAGCUCCUGCCAUGGUGGUUUUCCUUGGCACAACAAAUGUUGUCCAAAGCCACAAGAGAGAGCACAGGGCCCUACCAACAUUGGGAGGUCCUACAGAGAAGCCUUCCAGCCCACUGGAGAAGAGCAAAUGCAUCAGCCACGUGUUUCAACUCCAGAACAAACCCACCCUUCAGUUUUCAAACCAGCUUUUGGCUGCCACA